CUGAACAGUAAUGUGACUAUUAGUCACUUGAAGCCUGGGGUCUUGAGAGAAAAGGGAAGGGUGGCAUCCAAGCAGAGGUGGCAAGAAUCCCACAGACUCUUUGUAGGUGUGAAUUCUUCAAGUGACCCUCCUGGGCUUUUGACAAAAACAAACAAAAAAAACCUUGUAUGAACUCCUGUACCUCAGGCUCAGGGAACAGUGUGGACGAGACGGGUGGGAAGACUGUGAGAGCCAGAGGGAGGUUGCUGUGAGACUGUGUCUCCUUGGAGAAGAUGCAUCCAGGAAGUCUCACCAACAUGACUGCCUAAACCUGAGUGAGCAAGGAGGACACCAAUAGACACGCCAAAGUGGACGGGGAAAGACCCUGGGGCCUCAACCCGACACAACGGACUACAGGCAACUAUAGAAUGCUGAGAGCGGGAGAAACAGGCUUCCCCAGGGAAGAGCAGGCCAAUCGGUUAUCUGGGCCCAUUUGGAGUAUACUGUGAUGCGUGGUGUGGAAAAGAUGGAGCCAAGCUGAUUGUGAGUCGCUGCGGAUGUCCCACCGUUUGCUGAAGAACGACUCUUUCUUGCACUGUUGUGUCCAGGCUUGUUCAUAUUAAGCCAAGUCCUUAAAUAACAAAUCUGUUUUAACGGAG